GAUGAACGCUGGCGGCGUGCCUAAUACAUGCAAGUCGAGCGAACAGACGAGGAGCUUGCUCCUCUGACGUUAGCGGCGGACGGGUGAGUAACACGUGGAUAACCUACCUAUAAGACUGGGAUAACUUCGGGAAACCGGAGCUAAUACCGGAUAAUAUAUUGAACCGCAUGGUUCAAUAGUGAAAGACGGUUUUGCUGUCACUUAUAGAUGGAUCCGCGCCGCAUUAGCUAGUUGGUAAGGUAACGGCUUACCAAGGCAACGAUGCGUUGCCGACCUGAGAGGGUGAUCGGCCAAACUGGAACUGAGAAACGGUCCAGACUCCUACGGGAGGCAGAAGUAGGGAAUCUUCCGCAAUGGGCGAAAGCCUGACGGAGCAACGCCGCGGGAGUGAUGAAGGUCUUCGGAUCGUAAAACUCUGUUAUUAGGGAAGAACAAAUGUGUAAGUAACUAUGCACGUCUUGACGGUACCUAAUCAGAAAGCCACGGCUAACUAC
rnacentral:rRNA from 1 species